UACAGAGGGUGCGAGCGUUAAUCGGAUUUACUGGGCGUAAAGGGCGCGUAGGCGGUUGUGAGGGUGUGAUGUGAAAGCCCCGGGCUUAACCUGGGAAGUGCAUCGCAAACCAUACAACUGGAGUAGAUGAGAGGGUGGCGGAAUUUCCGGUGUAGCGGUGAAAUGCGUAGAGAUCGGAAGGAACGUCAAUGGCGAAGGCAGCCACCUGGCAUCAUACUGACGCUGAGGCGCGAAAGCGUGGGGAGCGAACAGG
rnacentral:rRNA from 1 species